rnacentral:rRNA from 2 species
UAGGGAAUAUUGGUCAAUGGGGGAAACCCUGAACCAGCGAUGCCAUGUGUGCGAUGAAGGCCCUAGGGUUGUAAAGCACUGUCGCAUGGGAAGAUAAUGACGGUACCAUGCAAGAAAGGACCGGCCAAUUUCGUGCCAGCAGCCGCGGUAAUACGAGAGGUCCUAGCGUUGUUCGGAAUUACUGGGCGUAAAGCGGAUGUAGGUGGAUGAUCAAGUCAGAUGUGAAAUCCUGAAGCUCAACUUCAGAACUGCAUUUGAAACUGUUCAUCUUGAGUACUUGAGAGGGUAGUAGAAUUCCUGGUGUAGUGGUGGAAUAUGUAGAUAUCAGGAGGAAUACCGGUGGCGAAGGCGGCUACCUGGCGAGAUACUGACACUCAGAUCCGAAAGCGUGGGGAGCAAACAGG